rnacentral:misc_RNA from 1 species
CAAACAAAAAGAAUCUAUCUCAGAUUGAAUAUGAAAAACCAUCGUCAGGUAAUGUGAUGGUUGUAUGCUGCGGCUGCUAUAUUUCCCUGAUCAGUUUUUGCUAUUAUAAUGUUGUACGGGGCAACAACAAUUCAAAUAGCAACUAUUAAUUUCUACUACUACAACAAAGAAAGAAAAUUUACAUGUAUGUAGUAGAGAAAAGAAUGUGGUGCGCAUUAUUAAUUU